rnacentral:rRNA from 1 species
GAUGAACGCUGGCGGCGUGCCUAAUACAUGCAAGUCGAGCGAACAGACGAGGAUCUUGCUUCUCUGACGCUAGCGGCGGACGGGUGAGUACCACGUGUAUACCUUACCUAUAAGACUGGGGUAACUUCGGGAGCGCUGAUCCCACAUCCGACAAUAUAUUGAACGGCAUGGUUCUUUGGAGCAAGACGUAUUUGCUGUCCCUAAUAGAUGGUUCCGCGCCGCAUUAGCUAGUUGGUACGGUAACGGCUUACCAAGGCAACGAUGCGUAGCCGACCUGAGAGGGUGAUCAGCCACACUGGAACUGAGACACGGUCCAGACUCCUACGGGAGGCAGCAGUAGGGAAUCUUGCGCAAUGGGCGAAAGCCUGACCGAGCAACGCCGCGUGAGUGAUGAAGGUCUUCGGAUCGUAAAACUCUGUUAGUAGGGAGGAACAGAUGUAUGAGUAUCUAUGCCCGUCUUGACGGUACCUACAGAAAAAGCCACGGCUAACUACGUG